AAGAGUUGGCAUCGGAGAUUUUGGAUAUUGAGGAUCUUGUUCGACUUGGGAAGAAAGAAAGUCGCUGUCCUUAUUUCAUCUGUGAAAAAUUCCAUUUGUGAAAAAUGCUGACAUUGUAUUCAUGCCGUACAAUUAUUUAAUCGAUACAAAG